rnacentral:rRNA from 1 species
UACGAAGGGGGCUAGCGUUGCUCGGAAUCACUGGGCGUAAAGCGCACGUAGGCGGCUUGUUAAGUCAGGGGUGAAAUCCUGGAGCUCAACUCCAGAACUGCCUUUGAUACUGGCGAGCUUGAGUUCGGGAGAGGUGAGUGGAACUGCGAGUGUAGAGGUGAAAUUCGUAGAUAUUCGCAAGAACACCAGUGGCGAAGGCGGCUCACUGGCCCGAUACUGACGCUGAGGUGCGAAAGCGUGGGUAGCAAACGGG